rnacentral:rRNA from 1 species
GACGGACGCUGGCGGCGUGCUUAACACAUGCAAGUCGAACGGAAAGGCCCCAGCUUGCUGGGGUACUCGAGUGGCGAACGGGUGAGUAACACGUGGGUGAUCUGCCCUGCACUCUGGGAUAAGCCUGGGAAACUGGGUCUAAUACCGGAUAGGACCGUGCUUUAGUGUGUGCGGUGGAAAGUUUUUCGGUGCAGGAUGAGCCCGCGGCCUAUCAGCUUGUUGGUGGGGUAAUGGCCCACCAAGGCGGCGACGGGUAGCCGGCCUGAGAGGGUGUACGGCCACAUUGGGACUGAGACACGGCCCAGACUCCUACGGGAGGCAGCAGUGGGGAAUAUUGCACAAUGGGCGCAAGCCUGAUGCAGCGACGCCGCGUGGGGGAUGACGGCCUUCGGGUUGUAAACCCCUUUCGGCAGGGACGAAGCUUUUGUGACGGUACCUGCAUAAGAAGCACCGGCUAACUACGUG